rnacentral:rRNA from 1 species
AUGAACGCUAGCGGCAGGCUUAACACAUGCAAGUCGAGGGGCAGCAUAAUGGAUAGCAAUAUCUAUGGUGGCGACCGGCGCACGGGUGCGUAACGCGUAUGCAACCUACCUUUAACAGGGGGAUAACACUGAGAAAUUGGUACUAAUACCCCAUAAUAUCAUAGAAGGCAUCUUUUAUGGUUGAAAAUUCCGAUGGUUAGAGAUGGGCAUGCGUUGUAUUAGCUAGUUGGUGGGGUAACGGCUCACCAAGGCGACGAUACAUAGGGGGACUGAGAGGUUAACCCCCCACACUGGUACUGAGACACGGACCAGACUCCUACGGGAGGCAGCAGUGAGGAAUAUUGGUCAAUGGACGCAAGUCUGAACCAGCCAUGCCGCGUGCAGGAUGACGGCUCUAUGAGUUGUAAACUGCUUUUGUACGAGGGUAAACGCAGAUACGUGUAUCUGUCUGAAAGUAUCGUACGAAUAAGGAUCGGCUAACUCCGUGCCAGCAGCCGCGGUAAUACGGAGGAUUCAAGCGUUAUCCGGAUUUAUUGGGUUUAAAGGGUGCGUAGGCGGUUUGAUAAGUUAGAGGUGAAAUUUCGGGGCUCAACCCUGAACGUGCCUCUAAUACUGUUGAGCUAGAGAGUAGUUGCGGUAGGCGGAAUGUAUGGUGUAGCGGUGAAAUGCUUAGAGAUCAUACAGAACACCGAUUGCGAAGGCAGCUUACCAAACUAUAUCUGACGUUGAGGCACGAAAGCGUGGGGAGCAAACAGGAUUAGAUACCCUGGUAGUCCACGCAGUAAACGAUGAUAACUCGUUGUCGGCGAUACACAGUCGGUGACUAAGCGAAAGCGAUAAGUUAUCCACCUGGGGAGUACGUUCGCAAGAAUGAAACUCAAAGGAAUUGACGGGGGCCCGCACAAGCGGUGGAGCAUGUGGUUUAAUUCGAAGCAACGCGAAGAACCUUACCAGGUCUUGACAUCCAACUGACGAGGCAGAGAUGCGUUAGGUGCCCUUUUGGGAAAGUUGAGACAGGUGGUGCAUGGUUGUCGUCAGCUCGUGUCGUGAGAUGUUGGGUUAAGUCCCGCAACGAGCGCAACCCUUAAGCUUAGUUGCCAUCAUUAAGUUGGGCACUCUAAGUUGACUGCCGGUGACAAACCGGAGGAAGGUGGGGAUGACGUCAAAUCAGCACGGCCCUUACGUCCGGGGCUACACACGUGUUACAAUGGUAGGUACAGAGGGCAGCUACCCAGCGAUGGGAUGCGAAUCUCGAAAGCCUAUCUCAGUUCGGAUUGGAGGCUGAAACCCGCCUCCAUGAAGUUGGAUUCGCUAGUAAUCGCGCAUCAGCCAUGGCGCGGUGAAUACGUUCCCGGGCCUUGUACACACCGCCCGUCAAGCCAUGGGAGCCGGGGGUGCCUGAAGUUCGUGACCGCAAGGAGCGACCUAGGGCAAAACUGGUGACUGGGGCU